rnacentral:rRNA from 1 species
CGAGUGAAGUGGGAAAAGCUCAACUUUGUAAUCUGGCUCUUUCAGAGUCCGAGUUGUAGUCUCGAGAAGCAACAUCCGCAUCGGACCUUGGGUAUGUCUGUUGGAAAACAGCGUCGUAGAGGGUGACAAUCCCGUUUGUACCAAGGACGACCGCGUGCAUUGUGGUGUGCUUUCCAAGAGUCGAGUUGUUUGGGAAUGCAGCUCAAAUUGGGUGGUAAAUUCCAUCUAAAGCUAAAUAUUGGCGAGAGACCGAUAGCGAACAAGUACCGUGAGGGAAAGAUGAAAAGCACUUUGGAAAGAGAAUGAAACAGUAUGUGAAAUUGCUGGAAGGGAAACGAUUGAAGUUAGACUUGCGUGGGCCCCACUCAGCCUUUUUGGUGUACUUGGGGCCCGUUGCAGGCCAGCAUCGGUUUGCUUCGCGGAAUAAGGGUGCGCGGGAUGUAGCUUCUUUUGAAGUGUUAUAAACGCGCACUGGAUGCCGAGUCGCAGACCGAGGAACGCAGCGUGUUUGUAGUGCCUUUAGGUACAGAGCGCUUAGG